CUUUCAAAAUCUUGAUUCAAUUCCCAUUUCAGUUAUCUUGUCUUUCAGAUUUUCUCGGCUGGCAUUUUACACCAAGGACUUAAAGGGACUUUACGGAGUUUUGAAUUUUUAUGCUCGUGAUUGCCUCCUCAGGCCAACAGCGUAAUGGCAGCUUCAAUAGUAGGCUCGUGCACAAGGUGCGCAUGCUGUACAUGCACACUCCUUAAAGAGCGGGUCAAUUGAGCCUCGGAGUCCUUCUCCACCCACGUAUCAAUUUUAAAAAAUGCAACAUUAGUAGGCGUUGCCUGGAGGACCGAGAGGGCGGAGCCGCGGCAGUGACGAAGACGAUGGCUAACUAGACGAAGCUAGCUCCCUUCACUCUGAGCAGUUGAUAGAAGUGGAGGACGUUUCUCCCCCUCCUUACAGACACUCGAGAAGAAAGGGACCAAGUCUAUUUGGAGGAGACAAGCGGACCUGAGUCUUAUUGUUUUGAGCUUGUGAGUUGCCUGAAACUCCCAGAACCGACCCAACAGAAUCACCUCUGAAAGGUCCUCUGGUGUCUGCAGCUGGUCUCUGGUGUCUGCAGCUGGUCUCCUCUGCUGGUGUCCUCAGGAUCAGGAACUUCCAGAAGAAUGUGCCUUUCAAUGACUCUUUCCCCCUUAUUUGUUAUAUUAAUUAAAUAAAUCUCAAUUUAUAUA